rnacentral:rRNA from 1 species
GACGAACGCUGGCGGCGUGCUUAACACAUGCAAGUCGUACGGUAAGGCCCUUUCGGGGGUACACGAGUGGCGAACGGGUGCGUAACACUUGCGUAACCUGCCCACAACUUUGGGAUAACGCUAGGAAACUGGUGCUAAUACUGAAUAUGUGCUCUUUCUGCAUGGGGGUGGUUGGAAAGCUCCGGCGGGUGUGGAUGGACUCGCUGCCUAUCGGCUUGUUGGUGGGGUAGUGGCCUACCGAGGCGGCGGCGGGUAGCCGGACUGAGUGGGUGACCGGCGACAUUGGGACUGAGGUGCGGCAGAGACUGCUACGGGAGGGAGCAGUGGGGAAUAUUGAACGAUGGGCGCAAGCCGGAUGCAGCAGCGCCGCGUGCGGGAUGACGGCCUUCGGGUUGUAAACCGAUUUCAGCAGGGACGAAGCUUUUUGUGACGGUACCUGAAGAAGAAGCACCGGCUAACUACGUG